rnacentral:rRNA from 2 species
GAUUAGUGGCGAACGGGUGAGUAACACGUGGGCAAUCUGCCCUGCACUCUGGGACAAGCCCUGGAAACGGGGUCUAAUACCGGAUACUGAUCCUCGCAGGCAUCUGCGAGGUUCGAAAGCUCCGGCGGUGCAGGAUGAGCCCGCGGCCUAUCAGCUUGUUGGUGAGGUAACGGCUCACCAAGGCGACGACGGGUAGCCGGCCUGAGAGGGCGACCGGCCACACUGGGACUGAGACACGGCCCAGACUCCUACGGGAGGCAGCAGUGGGGAAUAUUGCACAAUGGGCGAAAGCCUGAUGCAGCGACGCCGCGUGAGGGAUGACGGCCUUCGGGUUGUAAACCUCUUUCAGCAGGGAAGAAGCGAAAGUGACGGUACCUGCAGAAGAAGCGCCGGCUAACUACGUGCCAGCAGCCGCGGUAAUACGUAGGGCGCAAGCGUUGUCCGGAAUUAUUGGGCGUAAAGAGCUCGUAGGCGGCUUGUCACGUCGGUUGUGAAAGCCCGGGGCUUAACCCCGGGUCUGCAGUCGAUACGGGCAGGCUAGAGUUCGGUAGGGGAGAUCGGAAUUCCUGGUGUAGCGGUGAAAUGCGCAGAUAUCAGGAGGAACACCGGUGGCGAAGGCGGAUCUCUGGGCCGAUACUG